GAGAUCUCGAAGCAGUUCGGAGAAUUCAGAUUAUCGUUUCAAUUUGUACUUUUUAGUUACUUCUGUCCAAUAGAGCUUAGAAAUAUGAAUUUCUUGGUUGAUUGUAUCCUUAACCAUUUCUUUUUUUUGACACGAGGAACUCAUCAUGAAUCCACUAAUUGCUGCUGCUUCCGUUAUUGCUGCUGGAUUGGCCGUAGGUCUUGCUUCUAUUGGGCCUGGAGUUGGUCAAGGUACUGCUGCAGGACAAGCUGUAGAAGGUAUUGCGAGACAGCCAGAAGCAGAAGGUAAAAUACGCGGUACUUUAUUGCUUAGUCUAGCUUUUAUGGAAGCUUUAACAAUUUAUGGACUAGUUGUGGCACUGGCGCUUUUAUUUGCGAACCCUUUUGUUUAAUCCUAAAAAAGAAAACGAGUCCUUUAGAUUAGAUACUUUCUUCUUUUUUUAGUAAAUUGGUAUUUGCUUCUGCAAUUCCAAUUAUAUCAAUACUUUACUCCUAAUUUAUUACUCCUAGAGUUUUCUAUUUAUGGGGACAGACAAUACCCCACCCCAGGAAUAGCUGAUUUGAGGAUGAUCAAUUUAGAGGAUAUGUUCGCCGUCUUGCUUCCCGCCCUUUGUUUAGGGCAGUGGAAAGUAUUUUUCCUUUUAUUUUAGGAAUUUUGGGAACAUUUCAACAAAGGAGGUCUUUCACAGGUCAAACGAGAUCUAAGACUUAAUCUAAAAGAAAUUACUAAAUUGAAUCUAUUUCUAUUAAAAAAAAUUGCAUUAAAAAAACCGAUCAAAAAGGGCGAGCGAAGUAAGUGAUCGAAAAACUUUGUUCUUUGUUCGUCCUAUCUAUAAGAGGAGAGCAUAUGAAAAAUGUAACCCAUUCUUUCGUUUUUUUAGCUCACUGGCCAUCCGCUGGGAGUUUCGGGCUUAAUACCGAUAUUUUAGCAACAAAUCUAAUAAAUCUAACUGUAGUGGUUGGUGUAUUGAUUUAUUUUGGAAAGGGAGUGUGUGCGAGUUGUCUAUUUCAAGAAUAGAUUGGAUCUAUCCGGCUGCACUUUAGAAUAUUUUUUAGUAUUUUUCGAAUAAAUAAGAAAAGGGUGCACGAUCUCGACGAAUUACUUCUGAAUAAAUGCAGAAAUCAUAUGAAAGAACCAUAGCAUUUCGCGACCUAUUGGUAAAUCAAAUCAACUUUGAUUCUCUAUAGACCAAUAAUAUGAGACCAUUAACACGGUUAAAGCUAAACUGCUUGAAGUCUAGGCAAAAGGGGGUACUCUUUCUACAACUAUAUUAGUAUUAGUACCAAAUGCUUUAAACAGGAAAUAGCUAAUGUAGAAUUUAUCUGAUAUAGAACACUCAUAUCGAUAAAAUGGUUUGAACUAUUUACUAGAAGGGGCACCCUGCCCUUUUUUAUCCAAUGCCGAAUCGACGACCUAUGUAUAAAAAAGGAGAAAGUUUUUGGAUUUGAAGAAAAAAGUAGGAAUUCUAUCCAUUUUCAUUUUCCAUUUUUCUAUUUAGUUUUUCUUAAUGAAAUUGAAAAUUUUAACUAAAGGGCAAAUACAAAUAAAAAAACAACUUUGCUGCCCACGAUAGAUUUUUAUCUAGGCAGAAGAGUCCUCUUAAUAUUUAUCUAGUCUUAUAUGGGUUUCGGUAUAUUGAAAUAUAAACAGAAAAGAGAGGGUAGAGGAUAGGCUCAUUACAUUAAAAAAAAUAUGGAAGUAGCCAUAGCAAAAAAA